UUCCUUCGAGGCGGGGAAUACGCCCAGAAGUAAAUUUGGAUUAACUACCCCAUAGUAUAGCGGAGAGGCAUCUCUCUGUUAUUAAAGAUUUAUCACUUGAAGAUGGCUGUGCGGCUGAUUAGGUAGUUGGCGGGGUAACGGCCCACCAAGCCUGCGAUCAGUAACUGGUGUGAGAGCACGACCAGUCACACGGGCACUGAGACACGGGCCCGACUCCGUACGGGAGGCAGCAGUAAGGAAUAUUGGUCAAUGGACGAAAGUCUGAACCAGCCAUGCCGCGUGGAGGAUGAAGGUCCUCUGGAUUGUAAACUUCUUUUAUAUGGGACGAAAAAAGGUCUUUCUAGAUCGUCUGACGGUACCAUAUGAAUAAGCACCGGCUAACUCCGUG
rnacentral:rRNA from 1 species